UUGUGUAUUUGAGAGAAAAAAAGAGCAUGUGAACACAUGCGUUAUUGAGGUGGGGGGGCAAAGAGGGAGAAUCUUAAGCAGACACCCUACUGACUGGGAAGCCCAGUAUGGGGCUGGAUCUCAUGACUGAUGAGAUCAGGACCUGAACCAAAAUCAAGUGUUAGACAAUCAACUGACGGAGCCAACCAGGCGCUUCUCAUCUCUGACUUUUCUUACCAGCCUUCUCAAGACCAGGAAGAACCCCAUCCAGGCCCAUUCUAGUCUUGGCUAUCAACAGGCAUCAAACCAAGAUGUAUGAUAUGAUUCUCUGGUUCAUCUUCAUUUUUGAAUUCAAGAAAUAAUUAUUGAGAAGGCACUGUGGAGAAAACACAGUAGUAGGUAAACAAGAGAUAUAAAGAGGCCAGACUGAACAGAAAAAUUCUUCUACUCCUUCAGUAAUAUGAAUGGUAUGAUACCUGCAGAAAAUGGCAAAAGCAGUUGCUCUCUAUACAAGUGCUCAUCAGGGAAAUACAAAUCAAA